CGUGUAGGCGGUCAAGUAAGUGGAAUGUGAAAUGCCCCGGCUCACCCGGGGACCGGCAUCCCAAACUGCUUGGCUUGAGUAUGGGAGAGGAUGAGGGAAUUCCUGGUGUAGCGGUGAAAUGCGUAGAUAUCAGGAGGAACACCGGUGGCGAAAGCGCUCAUCUGGCCCAAUACUGACGCUGAGGCGCGAAAGCUAGGGAGCAAACG
rnacentral:rRNA from 1 species